rnacentral:lncRNA from 1 species
GUAUGUUUCCUUAACUUCGUUAACAGCCGCCCAUUCCCCCUAAAAAGCACAACAUGAUGAAAUGCAAAUCUCUUGUUCAACCUUUUCACCAACCAAAACAAACUCCUGUCUUCACCAAUCUCCUUAUGGUUAAAAGCCGCUAAUCUAUCGCUAGCGCUUACGCUUACACAUGUUAAUCCAUUGCUCAACCUAGGGUUUACAGAGCUAACAAUCACAGAAUUCAAUCUCACAACCUGCAGUCACAGUUUCAGCUACUAUUUUCAAUUUUCAACUAAUGUGGUUUGGAGCGAAGCAGAGAUUGUUGCGGGGGGAGAUGAAGAAAGAGGAGGAUGAGCUGCUGAUCACUUCCAUUUGACUCCCAC